rnacentral:tRNA from 1 species
UGGCUCAGUGGUAGAGCACUUGCCUUACAUGCAUGAAGCCCUGGGUUCGAUUCCUCAG